GACCCGGUGGUGAAAAGCUAUCACGCUGGUCACGAGUUUCCCCUCUCUUUCGGUUUCGGUCGCCAGAAUCCCUCGUUCGAAUCGAGGUCGGGUCU